UUUUGUUCGUAAUUAUAGCAAAGAAGACUUCUUUAUAGUACUUCUGAUCAAUAUUUUCGGAGAAUUAAAAUGAUUAUGAUUUUUUUUAUUUGUAUUAAAAAAUUAAAUGCUAUCGGCCGUUUUUAGUACAAGUGGCAAAAUGUUUAAUGAUUAAUAUUUGAAAUUUCAAGUUUGAAGACUAGUUGUUUUGCAUUUUUAAUUAAAUUUAUUUUUUUAAAAAAUAAACGAAACGGAUCGCAUAUAUAUUUCUUUAAAAAAAAAAUCAAAUGCUAGUCCACUUAAAAUUGAAAAUUCUAUUAAAAAAACAGAUUGCUAUUUUUUUUCAAUAACUAAAGAUUUUAAAUAGAUAAUUCAAUUAUUUCCGGCAAUUAAUAUAAGAGCGAAAGGCCCGAAGUUCAAAUAUUUUUGUCUCACUGCAUCCAAUAUUUUUGUCCCAAUGCUUUUUGGUAUUUUCAAAUAUACACUUCUAAUAUCAUCAAUAUUUUCUUAUUUGUCCUUAAGUUAAGAACAAAAGUAAUAUUUUAAUUUUUUUAACUGUAAUAGAUAUUUAACUCACGUUUAACUCAAAUUAAUUUAACGGAGGUAACUGUAGGAAUGUUUUAGAAUAACGAAUGAAUAUAUGAUAGGCAUUUUAAAAAAAAAAUUAAAAAAAAUAAAAUAUUUCGAAAUUUUUGAAGGAUAUAUAAGUAAUUAUUCUAAUUUUAAAAUAU
rnacentral:lncRNA from 1 species